AGUGAACGCUGGCGGUAGGCCUAACACAUGCAAGUCGAACGGCAGCACAGUAAGAGCUUGCUCUUACGGGUGGCGAGUGGCGGACGGGUGAGGAAUACAUCGGAAUCUACUUUUUCGUGGGGGAUAACGUAGGGAAACUUACGCCAAUACCGCAUACGACCUACGGGUGAAAGCAGGGGAUCUUCGGACCUUGCGCGAUUGAAUGAGCCGAUGUCGGAUUAGCUAGUUGGCGGGGUAAAGGCCCACCAAGGCGACGAUCCGUAGCUGGUCUGAGAGGAUUAUCAGCCACACUGGAACUGAGACACGGUCCAGACUCCUACGGGAGGCAGCAGUGGGGAAUAUUGGACAAUGGGCGCAAGCCUGAUCCAGCCAUACCGCGUGGGUGAAGAAGGCCUUCGGGUUGUAAAGCCCUUUUGUUGGGAAAGAAAAGCAGCAGGUUAAUACCCCGCUGUUCUGACGGUACCCAAAGAAUAAGCACCGGCUAACUUCGUG
rnacentral:rRNA from 1 species